CAAAAAAAAAGUGAUUAUUAGCACUUUUUUUUUUUUUUUUGCUGCUGUUGGUAGGUCUUUUUGGAAAUAUAAAGGCCAGUGUGUAAAGAAAUGAACCAAAAAUCAAUUUCAAGGAUUAAAAAUUUACAUUUUUUUUUUGCAACCAAAAUAUUUAAAUGAAAAAAAAAUGACAUAGUUCAAUAAAAUAUGUUUGUUCUACACUC